AGAGGAUGUGCAUGGAAAACGCUUGUGAAGGGCUUGCCACGCAGCUUGGCCCAGGUGGGUGGCAAGUGGAUGCAGGCGGGCGUGGGCCACUGUCCAUGGUCCUGAAACUCUCCACCAAUGAGAUCUCUAUUGAACUUCUCCCAGGAGGUGUUGGUACAAGCUCACACUGAGCCAGCUCACUGUGUUGCUAUGUGCUUCUGCAAAGAAUAUGGCUGAAGAUUUUUCCAUGGAGAGGUGUGGCCUCUGUCUCCAGGUCACAGCUCACACUUAUCUCCUGAACAGAGCUUCAGGGAGAGGAAAGAUGGUAUCUUGGGAGAAGCUGGAACUGAAACCUCGUCCAAACAAAGUGCCGCCACGAACUGGCUCCACGCGUGCUCUUCAGCUGGAAAUUCAUUCACCAUGAACUUGGGCAAGUAGGCUGAGUUCUUUUGCAGCCGUUCUGUCACGUGAAGUGCAAUCAGCUUUGCAAGUUAUGGGCACAGGGGUUGAGCAUUCUAUCCUAGAUAUCUCUUUAUAUAACUAACUAUGUAUCACCAUAUAGAUGACUAAUUAUUGACUUGUUACCUAUAAAUCUAUGCUCCACCUCAGCUGAAAAGAUAAUUGCAGCCAUAUUAUAAACAAAUUUUGCAGUCGACAAAACUGAGUCACAGAGAAAUGAACUGUCUUACCCAAGGUCAUCUGUCAAUAAAAGAAAAAAUCAAACCGAGUUUCUUAAAU